UCCAGUUGCUGCAGGGAUAAAUUUAGAAGCUGCAUGAUUUAGACUUUUCCCACUGCCUUUAGUUUUAGACCCUUGAUCUUUCCCAUGAUUUCCUCCCCCAACCAGGAGACAUUUUAUCCAACUGAAUCACUUCUUGCACUUCUUCUAUUACAGCUAACUGUUUAUUCUAACUUGCCUCUUGAUCACCUAUCUUCUCAUUUGCUUGAAUCUAAU
rnacentral:lncRNA from 1 species